ACGGUUACUUUUAAUAUUGAUGAAAACUUCUUCGGAUGCUGAGGCUCGAUGACCUCGUUUGAGGAAAACGAUACAAGGUUGGCAAGAAAGUGUAGGGAUUCGUGCAUUUUCUGAGAUUCGAAAGCAUUUGAAUGUUAAAUGAUAGCGUGAAAAAGGAAGGAGAUACGGUCGUUCUUGGUCAGACGUUUUGGUCAGCCUUCACAGGUCCACUUACUCAAGGUGUGAGUGUCGGAUGCGACGAGCCAGCAGGCUGAUGCAAGAAUUGCUUUUCAAUAUUUAACUACCCUGCACAACUAUGGACAGUGUACAUAAAGGGUUAUAGUAUUGUAAUUCACCAUUCUAUCCGGUCGCACGCCAGGCGGUCGGCCUCGUCUGAGACUGGCAUAGGCGUGCAUUAUUUACGACCCUGCACCGAACGUAUAUCGUGACGUAAAAAUUUCCCUCGGAUGAAUUAUGCCGCACGCUCGGUAUGCGAAUUCUUUUUCUAUACAACCAUACUUAGAGAGCUUUCCUGCCGCGAACAUGCUUGAGAAGCUUUUACACUUUUCAAUCAUAACGUAACUUUUGUAACGAGCCUCCGACUCCGUGAGAGCGCGAGUAGCGUGGAUCGUUUUAUCCACUGUUUAUGUUUGUUUUAAUAUAUAGGGGAAACAGUGGAACUAAUAUUUUCGCUGCUACGUAGAGUGGAAGAUCAAACGUGAAUAAUACAACCAAUUGAUUCGUAGUGGCUGUAGCAAUUUUAUUUUUACAUUGCAAAUGGAUCGUAGAGUAUGCAACAGGUCCUUGAUAAACCCUUAUUAAGGGUGACAUAUUUGUCAAGAUAACAGGCUUGGCAAGCUAGGAUUAAUUUUAUUAAGCGAUACCAUCUGCUCCAAGAAAGUGCCACUAAUAUCCAUAAGAAAAUUAAUUACAGGAGAUUUCUCGAUUCGAAACAUUGUUACAGAUAUUACUAUUAAAACAGUGUGUAGGUAUAAUCAAUAAUCAUAUUCAUAUAUUCUAUUCAUUCUGAAGAGAAUAUGUCACAAAGAAAAUUCAAUACUACCUUCAAUACUAAUUUACACAAUACAGACUGAUGUGCAUCCAAAAAUAGUACUCAAAAAAUCAAUAUGCGGGCACGAAGAGGUUAAGCUCCACUACGAAGAGUAAUUUACACGCUCAUUAACGUCACGCAAUAUCAUGAGUAUUAAUAGAAUAGAGACUAGUGAAUGCGAAUGAACUACAACUUACGAAUCGGGGAGACAAUAUAUGGCUGGGGAUCAGUUCCAAGACGUUCUAGUAUUUUACAAAUGUUAUACUGCAUCGUUCGUUACCCCUCUUGACGUAAAAUUCGUUGGAAUGACUAAAAUUUCUCGAAAGUAUAUGCAAAUGACGCCUGGAGACGAGGCGUUUUGCAACAUUUCCGCGAAAAAUACUAGCUGAUCGUUGGAUCGUUAAAGAAGUUUCUCUCGCGGAUCGUGGGCUCUUCGAUACGAUCGGAACAGGCGAUUCCAAUGGCGGCGUGAUUGUCCGCUCGGUUUCGCUGAUUUUAAAGCCGCCUAAGGAAAUCGAGCGGUUCUGGAUCGCGAGAAACGCAGGCCAUGGCU